rnacentral:lncRNA from 10 species
AAGAUGCUCCUUUUGUCUGGAAGCUUCAGCUAUAUGCCAUCUCAAGUUCCAUCUUCCUGGAAAACCCUUGUAAAUCCACCACUGUUAGGCUUAGCCAUCAUCUCCUUGAUGAAGCCUAUCCCUGACCUCUGCCCAAGACUAUGGAAAUAAUGUUAGACAAAAAGCAAAUUCAAACGAUUUUCUUAUUCAAAUUCAAAAUGGGUCAUAAAAUAGCAGAGACAACUCGCAACAUCAAAAAUGCAUUUGGCCCAGGAACUGCUAAUGAAGAAAUGUACAGUGCAGUGGUGGUUCAAGAAGUUUUGCAAAGCAGAAGAGAGCCUUGAAGAUGAGGAGCAUAGUGGCCAGCCAUCAGAAGUUGACAACAACCAACUGAGAGCACUCAUGGAAGCUGAUCCUCUUACAAACACAUGAGAAGUUGCCCAAGAACUCAACGUCAACCAUUCUAUGGUUGUUCAUCAUUGAAGCAGAUGGAAAGGCAAAGAAGCUCGAUAAAUGGGUGCCUCACGAGCUCAGCAAACAUAAAAUAAAACCAUCAUUUUGAAGUAUCAUCUCUUAGUCUACACAACAAUAACGAACCAUU